AUCACUAAUCAAGCCCGGCUUGCUGUUGGACCUCUUGUCGUUAAAAGACAGGCCCCAAAGAUAAUGAGGCGUCACUUGGACCCUAGAUGCAACGAGCUUUCAUUAGCACGCAUCCUAGUUGUGUCCUUGUGACCCGGUCUAGUUUUAACCAAUUUCUUAAGGUUGACCUCGGAUCAGGUAGGAAUACCCGCUGAACUUAA
rnacentral:misc_RNA from 1 species